CUUGGGCUUGAUGGCCUCAGAGAUGUUUUCCAACCUUUACAAUUCCAGCAUGGGGGCAGCUGGAUGGCCAUGGACAGCAGGCAGCCUGGGACCUCGAGCCAGUAAGCAGGAGGAUUCCUUCCCCGUUCUCCCAGGGUGGCGUUUGGGGUUUUCACUGACAGGACAGGACUGCUGGGAUGUGUUCUUGGAGCCUCAUUGCAGGGCUGAGACCACAGGAGGAUGGCAAAGCUCACGUCCUGCCAGCAGCAGGUGAUUCCAUGGGAUGAUCCAUGGCUGGUGACCCUUCCAGGCUCGGGGAGUUGGGGAUGCUCAGCCAGGAGAAGAGGAGGUUGUGUGGAAACCUCAGAGCAGCAUUGGAAGCUGAAGAGGGACUGUGGUGAUAAAACAAGGAGGGAUGGCUUCAAAAAAUGAGAGAAAAUGGGUUUAGAUGGGAUUUGGGGAAGGAAUUGUUCCCUGGGAGGGUGGGGAGGUCCUGGCACAGAUUCCCAGAGCAGCUGUGGCUGCCCAGGAUCCCUGGAAGUGUCCAUGGCCAGGCUGGAUUGGGAUUGGACACCCUGGGAUGGUAGAAGGUGUCCCCUCUGCUAUUUAUGUGCUGUCAUGUCAUUAUUUUUUUAUUAAAACAAAGAUUUUUAAUUUUUUUAGAAGGCAGGCUUGGCAAAAUGGCAAGAAAAUUCUGUUUUCUUGGUGGCUUAUGAAAGUAUUGUAAAGCCAUAUUAAGUUUAAAACUGCUGCUCCAAUAGAUCAUGCACUUCAAAUUUGAAAAUUCAGCUUGAAUUGUACAAACAAAAUGAGGACCAGGCAGAGAAGAAAAGCUCAUUCCUGAGAUACUGAAAAAGGGACUUGAUCUUUCAAUGACCUGGGCCAAGCUAAGAUGAUUUAGAGACCAAAUUUUCACCUCUUUUCUGAAAAGCUCUGAUUUUUGCUUGGCAAAGUUGUGCCAUGAUACUUUAAAAGGCAUUAAUCACUUCUUUCAAUGAGAAAGAAAAUACUUGUAUUUUGAAAAAAUUACUUGUUUCUAUAUUUAUUUUUUAUUCAUUAAUUUGCCAGGUAGAAAGUGUUACCUGCCCUCACUCUAGGCUGGCAUUUUAAUUUAAUUUAUUUCUCUCUCUCUUUGUCUUUGGACCUUGUAAAAUGGGGUUCUUACCCCAGUUAAACUUUUAUUGCUGUAACACUGAGCAAGCAGUACCUGUUUGGAAUUAAAGAUACUUUUGAAUGAGGCAGAAUCUAACUUUUAAU